AUUGAACGCUGGCGGAAUGCUUUACACAUGCAAGUCGAGCGGCAGCGCGGCCUUCGGGCUGGCGGCGAGCGGCGAACGGGUGAGUAAUGCAUCGAACAUGCCCAGUCGUGUGGGAUAACACUUCGAAAGAAGUGCUAAUACCGCAUACGUCCUGAGGGGGAAAGCGGGGGAUCGCAAGACCUCGCGCGAUUGGAGUGGCCGAUGUCGGAUUAGCUAGUUGGUGGGGUAAAGGCCUACCAAGGCGACGAUCUGUAGCUGGUCUGAGAGGAUGAUCAGCCACACUGGAACUGAGACACGGCCCAGACUCCUACGGGAGGCAGCAGUGGGGAAUUUUGGACAAUGGGCGCAAGCCUGAUCCAGCCAUGCCGCGUGAGUGAAGAAGGCCUUCGGGUUGUAAAGCUCUUUUGGCAGGAAAGAAACGGUGGGCUCUAACAUAGUCCGCUAAUGACGGUACCUAAAGAAGAAGCACCGGCUAACUACGUG
rnacentral:rRNA from 1 species